UACGGAAGGGGCAAGCGUUGUUCGGAAUCAUUGGGCGUAAAGGGCGCGCAGGUGGCUCUGUAUGUCUGCCGUGAAAGCAUACAGCUCAACUGUAUUGUGUCGGUAGAAACUGCAGGACUUGAGGCUGGGAGGGGCUGGUGGAAUUCCCUGUGUAGCGGUGAAAUGCGUAGAGAUGGGGGAGAACACUCGUGGCGAAGGCGGUCAGCUAGACCAGUUCUGACACUGAGGCGCGACAGCGUGGGGAGCAAACAGG
rnacentral:rRNA from 1 species